GCCCAUUAAAUAAAAAAGCGUAAAAGUCCCUUGCUUCUUUCUUUUUCAGAAUGGGGAUAGUUUAAAAGUGUCUGUUUGCAAUCCCCAAAUAUCAUAUUGCUUUUGGCAGCUGAUAUUCUUUAGCAGCUGAUUAAGUGAUACAUAUUUUACACAAAACAGAAUAUCCUGAAUCAAAGGGAUUUUGAAUAUUUAUUUGAACUGGCUUUAUCUCAGGUAUAUAUCUGGAAUUCACUGAAAAUAAAAUGGGUGGUAAGGACUCAAAGAUGACAGAGGAUAGCAACAACAAUAACAAGAUGGAGAUCAGGAAGUAGGUAUGCAAAUACCUGUAGGUUGGAUGUAUAUAGGAAAAGCUACCAUAUCAAACUGGGCAGAAGCAACCAAUCCAGAAAAAUAACUUCUAGCAUCCAAUCAUAUUGUGGUGAGAUUAAACUCACAAGAAAGUUAAAUGAGGUUUAGAGAACAUAUUCUCAACCCAUACAUACUUCAUUGGAGCAACUCUUGUUAAUCUUAAGGGGAAUUAUGGAACUCCAUUCUUCCUUCUUAUUUAGAAGAAAAUAGAUUCAAGGCCAAAUUUGUAGGCCAAAUUGAAGAUAUAACGAGAUUUUUUUUUUAACUCAUCGUCUUUGCCAAAUUCUCUAGAACAUAAAACCUGAGGCAAAGAUUACUUGCUAAGUCUAUGUUGGGUGGUGCAAUUUCAGGGCUAUAAAAGGGAAUGAGAAAAAGGUGAGGCAGGAAAGGAAGGAAUGCAAAUACUAGACGGUGUGUUAAGGAGCUGGACAUAACUUCACAAAGAACAAAGCCUGUUGCUGGGUCCUGCAUGUCACCUUGAAACAGUCCAUCAGGUGGGGAGGGCAGUGGGAGGAGCAAUGGGGGGAGAAAGAGGAAUUUAUCUUCUUGACCUCUAGUCCCUUGAUUCAAAAUUUAACUCUGAUUUAAGGGAGCCGUUGGGUAAGCCAGAUUCCACAUCCCACUAAACUGCCUGGAAGAGGUGGGAGGAGAGCAGCCAUUAAGGUAUGAGGUACAGAGUCCCAUCAGGUGAGACCCAUGUCUGUAGCCACUGAGGUUCCUGUUGCAACAGGUGAGAUGUGAUCUUCCCAAAGCCCCAGCUUCUUCCGCAGGAGGCUGAGACAGCAGGCCCACGGAUGUCCAUUCAGGAAGAGGCUAAGGCUUGGGGGUCAGGUGAAGAAUCUUGAGAGACACAAAAAUUGUUCUAGUAUAGUCAUGACUUAAAAUUAUAAAGAAUAAUUUUCAAGUCUUUUAGCAAAUCCAUGAAUUGGUGUUUUUGUGGAGAUAUGAAUGACUUUCAGUAAAAGAGUCACCGAAUCAUAAUAGGUAUGGAGGUGGAAAUUCUAUUAUUAAGAUUUAUGAUUACUGAAAUAUUUUCAUGAUUACUCAGAUCCAUUUCUGGACUGACCUUAUGCUUAACCAGAUGAUGUUUAUUAUUAAAGCUGAUUUUUAACGAGUGUUCAUUAAUAAAAAAUGCUCUUAACCACAA
ensembl:lncRNA novel transcript